ACCUCUUUAGUAUAGUGGUGAGUAUAUCCCCACCUAUACUGUGGGAGACCAGAGUUCAAUUCCCUGAUGAGGAG
rnacentral:tRNA from 1 species